GUGCUGGCUUCAGCAGCACAUAUACUAAAAUUGAAAUGAAAAAGAGAAGAUUAACACGGCCUCUGUGCAAGGAUAAUGUGUAAGUUUUUGAAGAGUUGCAUGUUUUU